GUCAAGCCCCGUCGCAAAGAGAAUCAUUCUUUCAAAUCCCAAACCAAAUCCACAGUGCUUCACCGUCCCAUAGCGCCGGAGGUCAAGGUACCAUUCAUAUGGCUCCAGAGGCAACCCUGCUUCUGUUAUUCUUUUCAUAAGAACAUCCAACCGCUCCUCCCUUUGACUUCCUCCAACCAGUUCACCAACCUUGGGAACAAGCAAGUCCAUAGCUGCGACUGUCUCAUUAUCAUCAUUAAGUCUCAUAUAAAAGGCCUUUAUUCCUUUAGGAUAGUUAUACACUAUGACAGGCUUUUU
rnacentral:misc_RNA from 1 species